rnacentral:rRNA from 1 species
GAUGAACGCUGGCAGCGUGCCUAAUACAUGCAAGUCGAACGAGUGGCGGACGGGUUAGGAACACGUGGGUACAACCCAUCAGAGGGGGAUCACCCUUGGAAACAGGUGCUAAUACCGCAUACUGAUGUAUGACCCGCGGGUCAUUAGCUCGUUGGUGAGGUAACGGCUCACCAAGGCCACGAUCCCUAGCUGGUCUGAGAGGAUGAUCAGCCACACUGGGACUGAGACACGGCCCAGACUCCUACGGAGGCAGCAGUGGGGAAUAUUGCACAAUGGGCGCAAGCCUGAUGCAGCCAUGCCGCGUGUAUGAAGAAGGCCCUAGGGUUGUAAAGUACUUUCAGUCGGGAGGCGUUACCGACAGAAGAAGCACCGGCUAACUCCGUGCCAGCAGCCGCGGUAAUUC